AUUGAACGCUGGCGGCAUGCUUUACACAUGCAAGUCGAACGGUAACAGGGAGCUUGCUCCGCUGACGAGUGGCGAACGGGUGAGUAAUGCGUCGGAACGUGCCGAGUAGUGGGGGAUAACGCAUCGAAAGGUGUGCUAAUACCGCAUACGUACUGAGGUAGAAAGUGGGGGACCUUCGGGCCUCACGCUAUUCGAGCGGCCGACGUCGGAUUAGGUAGUUGGUGAGGUAAAGGCUCACCAAGGCGACGAUCAGGAGCGGGUCUGAGAGGAGGGUCCGCCACACUGGGACUGAGACACGGCCCAGACUCCUACGGGAGGCAGCAGUGGGGAAUUUUGGACAAUGGGCGCAAGCCUGAUCCAGCCAUGCCGCGUGUCUGAAGAAGGCCUUCGGGUUGUAAAGGACUUUUGUCCGGGAGCAAAUGCCUGGUGUUAAUAGCAUCGGGAGCUGAGAGUACCGGAAGAAUAAGCACCGGCUAACUACGUGCCAGCCGCCGCGGUAACAC
rnacentral:rRNA from 1 species